UGAGUGCGAGCUGCUACGGCAGCGAAGUGGGUGACGUCAAGCUUCCAAGAAAAGCCCUAUACCCGUUAAGGCAUGAUUGCCUGUACCCGAAACCGACACAGGUGGGGUGGUAGAGAAUACCGAGGGGCGCGAGGUAACUCUCACUAAGGAACUCGGCAAAAUGGCCCCGUAACUUCGGGAGAAGGGGUGCCACCGCAAGGUGGUCGCAGUGAAGAGGCCCAGGCGACUGUUUACCAAAAACACAGGUCUCCGCUAAGUCGCAAGACGAUGUAUGGGGGCUGACGCCUGCCCAGUGCCGGAAGGCUAAGGAAGCUGGUCAGCGUAAGCGAAGCUGGCGACUGAAGCCCCGGUGAACGGCGGCCGUAACGAUAACGGUCCUAAGGUAGCGAAAUUCCUUGUCGGGUAAGUUCCGACCCGCACGAAAGGCGUAACGAUCUGGGCGCUGUCUCGGAGAGAGGCUCGGCGAAAUAGAAUUUCUGUGAAGAUGCGGACUACGUGCACCCGGACAGAAAGACCCUAUGAAGCUUUACUGUAGCUUGGUAUUGUGCCCGGGCUCGCAAUGCGCAGGAUAGGUGGGAGGCUUUGAUCAUCGGCUUGCGGGUCGAUGUGAGCCACUGGUGAGAUACCACUCUUUGCGAGCUAGGGUUCUAACGGCCACCCGUGAUCCGGGGGCCGGACAGUAUCAGGUGGGCAGUUUGACUGGGGCGGUCGCCUCCUAAAAGGUAACGGAGGCGCGCAAAGGUUCCCUCAGGCUGGUUGGAAAUCAGCCGACGAGUGUAAAGGCAAAAGGGAGCUUGACUGUGAGACCUACAAGUCGAACAGGGACGAAAGUCGGCCUUAGUGAUCCGACGGUUCUGAGUGGAAGGGCCGUCGCUCAACGGAUAAAAGUUACUCUAGGAUAACAGGCUGAUCUCCCCCAAGAGUUCACAUCGACGGGGAGGUUUGGCACCUCGAUGUCGGCUCAUCGCAACCUGGGGCUGAAGUCGGUCCCAAGGGUUGGGCUGUUCGCCCAUUAAAGCGGUACGCGAGCUGGGUUCAGAACAUCGUGAGACAGUUCGGUCCAUAUCCGGUGCAUGCGCAGGAAUAUUGAGAGGAGUUCUCCCUAGUACGAGAGGACCGGGAGGAACGCACCUCUGGUGUACCAGUUAUCGUGCCAACGGUAAACGCUGGGUAGCCAUGUGCGGAGAGGAUAACCGCUGAAAGCAUCUAAGUGGGAAGCCCACCUCAAGAUGAGUAUUCCCAUGGCAUAAGCCAGUAAGGUCACGGGAAGAACACCCGUUGAUAGGCUCUACGUGGAAGCGCAGUAAUGCGUGAAGCGGAGGAGUACUAAUAGACCGAGGGCUUGACC
rnacentral:rRNA from 1 species